rnacentral:rRNA from 1 species
GAUGAACGCUGGCGGCGUGCCUAAUACAUGCAAGUCGAGCGAACGGACGAGAAGCUUGCUUCUCUGAUGUUAGCGGCGGACGGGUGAGUAACACGUGGAGAACCUACCUAUAAGACUGGGAUAACUUCGGGAAACCGGAGCUAAUACCGGAUAAUAUUUUGAACCGCAUGGUUCAAAAGUGAAAGACGGUCUUGCUGUCACUUAUAGAUGGAUCCGCGCUGCAUUAGCUAGUUGGUAAGGUAACGGCUUACCAAGGCAACGAUGCAUAGCCGACCUGAGAGGGUGAUCGGCCACACUGGAACUGAGACACGGUCCAGACUCCUACGGGAGGCAGCAGUAGGGAAUCUUCCGCAAUGGGCGAAAGCCUGACGGAGCAACGCCGCGUGAGUGCUGAAGGUCUUCGGAUCGUAAAACUCUGUUAUUAGGGAAGAACAUAUGUGUAAGUAACUGUGCACAUCUUGACGGUACCUAAUCAGAAAGCCACGGCUAACUACGUG